AGCGCAGGCGGUUAUAUAAGACAGAUGUGAAAUCCCCGGGCUCAACCUGGGAACUGCAUUUGUGACUGUAUAGCUAGAGUACGGCAGAGGGGGAGUGGAAUUCCGCGUGUAGCAGUGAAAUGCGUAGAUAUGCGGAGGAACACCGAUGGCGAAGGCAAUCCCCUGGGCCUGUACUGACGCUCAUGCACGAAAGCGUGGGGAGCAAACA
rnacentral:rRNA from 1 species